UGUUUAUAAAUUUAUAUUUAAUUAUUUUUAAGGUUUUUAUAAAGUAUUUAUUUGUUAUUGUAUUAAUUUGAGAAUUAAUUUUAUUUGUGAUAGUUUAAUUGUACUAUAUGGGAUUAUUUUGAAAUAUUUUAUUAUACUUUUAAUAGUUGUUUUUGUUUAGUGUACCUUGUGUAUCAGGGUUUAUUUAAAAAAUAUUAUUUAUAUUAUAUUUCCCGAUUUUAAGAGAGUUAUUGAAUUAUAUUAGUUAAUGUUAAAUAAUUAUUAAUAAUAAUUCUUUAGAGGUGAAAUGUCAAACGGUCUUAAGUAUAUCUGGUUAUUUGAGAAAUGAAUUUAAUUCAGGUAAUACUAAUAUAUAUAUUUAAUUUUAAGUUAAUAUUAAGUUAUUUACUAAUAUUUUGGGGGAUGAGCUUCAAGAUAAAAUAAUUAAUAAAUAAUUAUUUGAUAUAAGUAAAUUAGAUUUAGAAGUGAUUAUUAAUUGGGGAUGUUAAAAUUUUACUUAUUUAUUAAUUUAUUUAUAUAUAUAUUUUUAAUUUUUUAUCAAAAGUUUUUAAUUAAUUAUUAAUUAAUUGUUAUAAUGAUAUAAUUAGUAUAAAUUUUAUAUUUUAUUUGAUUUUUUUUGUUAGAAAAUUUAUUAGGAAUUAGGCAAUAAUAUGUUCGCCUGUUUAACAAAAACAUCUCUUUUCGUUUGUUUGAAAAGUAUAACCUGCCCACUGAAUAAUUAUUGAAGGGCCGCGGUAUUUUGACCGUGCAAAGGUAGCAUAAUCAUUAGUCUCUUAAUUAGAGGCUGGAAUGAAUGGUUGGACGAAAUAUAUACUGUCUUAUUUUUUAUUUUAGAAUUUAAUUAUUAAGUAAGAAAGCUUAAAUUUAUUUAUGGGACGAGAAGACCCUAUAGAGUUUAAUAAAUUUAUUUAUUGGGUUUGUUUGAUUAAUUGUAUAUAAGUAAAUUUAUUUUGUUGGGGUGACAAGGAGAUAUAAUUAACUCUUUUUAUUGUUUUAUAUUUAUUUAUAUUUAUCUGAUCCAUUAUUAUUGAUUAUAAGACUUAAUUACCUUAGGGAUAACAGCGUAAUCUUCUUUGAGAGUUCAUAUCGACAAAAAGGGUUGCGACCUCGAUGUUGGAUUAAGAUUAACAUUAGGUGUAGAAGUUUAAAAUGUUAGGUCUGUUCGACCUUUAAAAUCUUACAUGAUCUGAGUUCAAACCGGCGUGAGCCAGGUUGGUUUCUAUCUAUAAUUAAUUAUGAUAUUUUAGUACGAAAGGACCAAAUAUUGGAAAUAAUUUUUAUUAUAUUGAAUUUCAUUAAUAU
rnacentral:rRNA from 1 species